rnacentral:rRNA from 1 species
UGUCGCUGACUUUUGAAGGGUCGUGCACACCUCGGUACUCUCACACACAAUCCAUCUCACCCCUUUUGUGCAUCACCGCGUGGGGACCCCCUUUUGGCUAGUUCUGAGGGGGGUUUUCACGUUUUUAUACAGACACCCCUUUUAAUGCAAUGUGUAGAAUGUCUUACUUUUUGCGAUCACACGCAAUCAAUACAACUUUCAACAACGGAUCUCUUGGCUCUCGCAUCGAUGAAGAACGCAGCGAAAUGCGAUACGUAAUGUGAAUUGCAGAAUUCAGUGAAUCAUCGAAUCUUUGAACGCACCUUGCGCCCUUUGGCAUUCCGAGGGGCACACCCGUUUGAGUGUCAUGACAUCCUCAAAACCUUCUUGGUUUCUUGACCAGGAAGGCUUUUGGACUAUGGAGGCUUUUGCUGGCCCUUCCUUUGUUGGAGCCAGCUCCUCUGAAAUGAAUUAGUGGGGUUUGCUUUGCUUAUCCUUGACGUGAUAAGAUGUUUUCUACGUCUUGGGUUUCGCACCGUUCCCUGCUUCUAACCGUCUCAUAGAAGACAAUGGUCGAGUGAUCGCCACUUGACCCACAAACCUUGACCUCAAAUCGGGUGAGACUACCCGCUGAACUUAAGCAUAUCAAUAAGCGGAGGA